UACGGAGGGGGCUAGCGUUGUUCGGAAUUACUGGGCGUAAAGGGCACGUAGGCGGCGCAGCAAGUUAGAUGUGAAAGACCUGGGCUCAACCGAGGAAUUGCAUUUAAUACUGCUGUGCUAGAGUCCGAGAGAGGUGAGUGGAAUUCCCAGUGUAGAGGUGAAAUUCGUAGAUAUUGGGAAGAACACCAGUGGCGAAGGCG
rnacentral:rRNA from 1 species